AUUGAACGCUGGCGGCAUGCCUUACACAUGCAAGUCGAACGGCAGCACGGGUGCUUGCACCUGGUGGCGAGUGGCGAACGGGUGAGUAAUACAUCGGAACAUGUCCUGUAGUGGGGGAUAGCCCGGCGAAAGCCGGAUUAAUACCGCAUACGAUCUACGGAUGAAAGCGGGGGACCUUCGGGCCUCGCGCUAUAGGGUUGGCCGAUGGCUGAUUAGCUAGUUGGUGGGGUAAAGGCCUACCAAGGCGACGAUCAGUAGCUGGCCUGAGAGGACGACCAGCCACACUGGGACUGAGACACGGCCCAGACUCCUACGGGAGGCAGCAGUGGGGAAUUUUGGACAAUGGGCGAAAGCCUGAUCCAGCAAUGCCGCGUGUGUGAAGAAGGCCGUCGGGUUGUAAAGCACUUUUGUCCGGAAAGAAAUCCUUGGCCCUAAUACGGUCGGGGGAUGACGGUACCGGAAGAAUAAGCACCGGCUAACUACG
rnacentral:rRNA from 1 species